UACGUAGGGCGCAAGCGUUGUCCGGAAUUAUUGGGCGUAAAGAGCUCGUAGGCGGUUUGUCGCGUCUGCUGUGAAAACCUCAGGCUCAACCUGGGGCUUGCAGUGGGUACGGGCAGACUAGAGUGCGGUAGGGGAGACUGGAAUUCCUGGUGUAGCGGUGAAAUGCGCAGAUAUCAGGAGGAACACCGGUGGCGAAGGCGGGUCUCUAGUACGGUACUGACGCUGGAGACGCGAAAAGCGUGGGGAGCGAACAGG
rnacentral:rRNA from 1 species